ensembl:lncRNA NEAT1 nuclear paraspeckle assembly transcript 1
GGAGUUAGCGACAGGGAGGGAUGCGCGCCUGGGUGUAGUUGUGGGGGAGGAAGUGGCUAGCUCAGGGCUUCAGGGGACAGACAGGGAGAGAUGACUGAGUUAGAUGAGACGAGGGGGCGGGCUGGGGGUGCGAGAAGGAAGCUUGGCAAGGAGACUAGGUCUAGGGGGACCACAGUGGGGCAGGCUGCAUGGAAAAUAUCCGCAGGGUCCCCCAGGCAGAACAGCCACGCUCCAGGCCAGGCUGUCCCUACUGCCUGGUGGAGGGGGAACUUGACCUCUGGGAGGGCGCCGCUCUUGCAUAGCUGAGCGAGCCCGGGUGCGCUGGUCUGUGUGGAAGGAGGAAGGCAGGGAGAGGUAGAAGGGGUGGAGGAGUCAGGAGGAAUAGGCCGCAGCAGCCCUGGAAAUGAUCAGGAAGGCAGGCAGUGGGUGCAGGGCUGCAGGAGGGCCGGGAGGGCUAAUCUUCAACUUGUCCAUGCCAGCAGCCCCUUUUUUUCCAGACCAAGGGCUGUGAACCCGCCUGGGGAUGAGGCCUGGUCUUGUGGAACUGAACUUAGCUCGACGGGGCUGACCGCUCUGGCCCAGGGUGGUAUGUAAUUUUCGCUCGGCCUGGGACGGGGCCCAGGCCGGGCCCAGCCUGGUGGAGCGUCCAGGUCUGGGUGCGAAGCCAGGCCCCUGGGCGGAGGUGAGGGGUGGUCUGAGGAGUGAUGUGGAGUUAAGGCGCCAUCCUCACCGGUGACUGGUGCGGCACCUAGCAUGUUUGACAGGCGGGGACUGCGAGGCACGCUGCUCGGGUGUUGGGGACAACAUUGACCAACGCUUUAUUUUCCAGGUGGCAGUGCUCCUUUUGGACUUUUCUCUAGGUUUGGCGCUAAACUCUUCUUGUGAGCUCACUCCACCCCUUCUUCCUCCCUUUAACUUAUCCAUUCACUUAAAACAUUACCUGGUCAUCUGGUAAGCCCGGGACAGUAAGCCGAGUGGCUGUUGGAGUCGGUAUUGUUGGUAAUGGUGGAGGAAGAGAGGCCUUCCCGCUGAGGCUGGGGUGGGGCGGAUCGGUGUUGCUUGCCUGCAGAGAGGGUGGGGAGUGAAUGUGCACCCUUGGGUGGGCCUGCAGCCAUCCAGCUGAAAGUUACAAAAAUGCUUCAUGGACCGUGGUUUGUUACUAUAGUGUUCCUCAUGGCGAGCAGAUGGAACCGGGAGACAUGGAGUCCCUGGCCAGUGUGAGUCCUAGCAUUGCAGGAGGGGAGACCCUGGAGGAGAGAGCCCGCCUCAAUUGAUGCCUGCAGAUUGAAUUUCCAGAGGCUUAGGAGGAGGAAGUUCUCCAAUGUUCUGUUUCCAGGCCUUGCUCAGGAAGCCCUGUAUUCAGGAGGCUACCAUUUAAAGUUUGCAGAUGAGCUUAUGGGGGGCAAUCUUAAAAAGUCCACAGCAGAUGCAUCCGGCUCGAGGGGCCAUCAGCUUUGAAUAAAUGCUUGUUCCAGAGCCCAUGAAUGCCAGCAGGCACCCCUCCUUUCCUGGGGUAAAGGUUUUCAGAUGCUGCAUCUUCUAAAUUGAGCCUCCGGUCAUACUAGUUUUGUGCUUGGAACCUUGCUUCAAGAAGAUCCCUAAGCUGUAGAACAUUUUAACGUUGAUGCCACAACGCAGAUUGAUGCCUUGUAGAUGGAGCUUGCAGAUGGAGCCCCGUGACCUCUCACCUACCCACCUGUUUGCCUGCCUUCUUGUGCGUUUCUCGGAGAAGUUCUUAGCCUGAUGAAAUAACUUGGGGCGUUGAAGAGCUGUUUAAUUUUAAAUGCCUUAGACUGGGGAUAUAUUAGAGGAAGCAGAUUGUCAAAUUAAGGGUGUCAUUGUGUUGUGCUAAACGCUGGGAGGGUACAAGUUGGUCAUUCCUAAAUCUGUGUGUGAGAAAUGGCAGGUCUAGUUUGGGCAUUGUGAUUGCAUUGCAGAUUACUAGGAGAAGGGAAUGGUGGGUACACCGGUAGUGCUCUUUUGUUCUUGCUUCGUUUUUUUAAACUUGAACUUUACUUCGUUAGAUUUCAUAAUACUUUCUUGGCAUUCUAGUAAGAGGACCCUGAGGUGGGAGUUGUGGGGGACGGGGAGAAGGGGACAGCUUGGCACCGGUCCCGUGGGCGUUGCAGUGUGGGGGAUGGGGGUAUGCAGCUUGGCACUGGUACUGGGAGGGAUGAGGGUGAAGAAGGGGAGAGGGUUGGUUAGAGAUACAGUGUGGGUGGUGGGGGUGGUAGGAAAUGCAGGUUGAAGGGAAUUCUCUGGGGCUUUGGGGAAUUUAGUGCGUGGGUGAGCCAAGAAAAUACUAAUUAAUAAUAGUAAGUUGUUAGUGUUGGUUAAGUUGUUGCUUGGAAGUGAGAAGUUGCUUAGAAACUUUCCAAAGUGCUUAGAACUUUAAGUGCAAACAGACAAACUAACAAACAAAAAUUGUUUUGCUUUGCUACAAGGUGGGGAAGACUGAAGAAGUGUUAACUGAAAACAGGUGACACAGAGUCACCAGUUUUCCGAGAACCAAAGGGAGGGGUGUGUGAUGCCAUCUCACAGGCAGGGGAAAUGUCUUUACCAGCUUCCUCCUGGUGGCCAAGACAGCCUGUUUCAGAGGGUUGUUUUGUUUGGGGUGUGGGUGUUAUCAAGUGAAUUAGUCACUUGAAAGAUGGGCGUCAGACUUGCAUACGCAGCAGAUCAGCAUCCUUCGCUGCCCCUUAGCAACUUAGGUGGUUGAUUUGAAACUGUGAAGGUGUGAUUUUUUCAGGAGCUGGAAGUCUUAGAAAAGCCUUGUAAAUGCCUAUAUUGUGGGCUUUUAACGUAUUUAAGGGACCACUUAAGACGAGAUUAGAUGGGCUCUUCUGGAUUUGUUCCUCAUUUGUCACAGGUGUCUUGUGAUUGAAAAUCAUGAGCGAAGUGAAAUUGCAUUGAAUUUCAAGGGAAUUUAGUAUGUAAAUCGUGCCUUAGAAACACAUCUGUUGUCUUUUCUGUGUUUGGUCGAUAUUAAUAAUGGCAAAAUUUUUGCCUAUCUAGUAUCUUCAAAUUGUAGUCUUUGUAACAACCAAAUAACCUUUUGUGGUCACUGUAAAAUUAAUAUUUGGUAGACAGAAUCCAUGUACCUUUGCUAAGGUUAGAAUGAAUAAUUUAUUGUAUUUUUAAUUUGAAUGUUUGUGCUUUUUAAAUGAGCCAAGACUAGAGGGGAAACUAUCACCUAAAAUCAGUUUGGAAAACAAGACCUAAAAAGGGAAGGGGAUGGGGAUUGUGGGGAGAGAGUGGGCGAGGUGCCUUUACUACAUGUGUGAUCUGAAAACCCUGCUUGGUUCUGAGCUGCGUCUAUUGAAUUGGUAAAGUAAUACCAAUGGCUUUUUAUCAUUUCCUUCUUCCCUUUAAGUUUCACUUGAAAUUUUAAAAAUCAUGGUUAUUUUUAUCGUUGGGAUCUUUCUGUCUUCUGGGUUCCAUUUUUUAAAUGUUUAAAAAUAUGUUGACAUGGUAGUUCAGUUCUUAACCAAUGACUUGGGGAUGAUGCAAACAAUUACUGUCGUUGGGAUUUAGAGUGUAUUAGUCACGCAUGUAUGGGGAAGUAGUCUCGGGUAUGCUGUUGUGAAAUUGAAACUGUAAAAGUAGAUGGUUGAAAGUACUGGUAUGUUGCUCUGUAUGGUAAGAACUAAUUCUGUUACGUCAUGUACAUAAUUACUAAUCACUUUUCUUCCCCUUUACAGCACAAAUAAAGUUUGAGUUCUAAACUCAUUAGAAUUGUUGUAUUGCUAUGUUACAUUUCUCGACCCCUAUCACAUUGCCUUCAUAACGACUUUGGAUGUAUCUUCAUAUUGUAGAUUUAGGUCUAGAUUUGCUAGCUCCAAGUAAUUAAGGCCAUGUAGGAGAGCAUGGUAACCACAGAUAGAACUGGUAUUAUCCCAAGUGGUCUGCAGACUGCUGAGUGGGGAUGGGAUCUGCUCUCUGUUGAGAGUUGGUAAUCAUUGGUUUGAAAUGUGAUGAAACCACUCAAGCCAAUGAAGGUGGGUGUGUAGGUGGGGAGUACUUUGCCAUAAUAUUUUAAAACAUUACCUGGUUAGAGUUCUAAGUGGUACUUAUUUUUGUUUGGUUAGGGGAAAGCCUGAAUAAAAACAGAAAUGGACACAUAAUAUGCAUAUUCCAUAGUCUUUGGGAGGCUGGAAUGUGCCUGGGAUUUGGGUCUAAGUGUAUGCGUAAUUCUUACCUCACUAAAGAAUUUGCCUUGUUUUUUUCCUUUUGGUGAGUGACUAAAACGUCUGGGCUUCCCUGUGUGCGUGCUACAGUAAGCAAGCAGAGGCUGUGCAAAGGUGUGAGCAGGAUCACGUGGAAUCUGGAGGAUACAUCUUGGCUUGCAAACUGCCUCUGUCUCCUGGGUGGGACUGUUCUGUCCUUGCACUGCUGUUCUGUGUUACCUCUUGGGGUGUAAGGUUUUGCUUACAGGAGACAAACUUUGGGCGUAGAAUGGAAGCCACUGCCAGCCUCUGUGCUGAGAAGGAAGGUGCUUGUUUCAAAGGGAGCAGCAAGGGAGGCUUGUUCUACUCACCUGGGCCUGUUUGCCUGAGAAGGGGAGAUAAGGGCUGAACUGGGACUAGCCAGGGGGACCAACACAAAUGGUGGGGGAUCAUGACCUGAAGGAUUCUUUCCUUCCCAUGAGCUGCAGGGCUGGUUGCCGUCCUUGCAACUGUGUCUUAUUUGCCUGUGCCGUUAUAUCUUGGUGACCCCUCCACGUGUACACUACUGACAAACGGGUGGAGUGCUGGGGAGAAGUCACUGUGCCGCCCACCUAGUAAACCUUCUGUCUGUGCUCAUGGCAUCUCCAAGAUGGGGCACUGCUGUGUGCAGAAUCCAGGGUCCUCUUUCUGCUUGCAACUCCUUUCCCUGGAUGCCCCAGAAACAAUCCAGGCCUCCUUUCCUAUCUUACCCCUUUGCUUUGCUUUUUACCCCAGCACCUCUAUAACCGCCUUCUCUUCUUUUCAGAACUCCUUGUUUCUCGUCCUGUUUUUUAUGAUUACAAAACUCUUGCUUCCACCCUGGAAGAUAACUGCUAUAGAUGCCUGUAUGUAAAUGGUGCUGUCUCCAGCAACUGGCAUGCUGAAGAAGAAUUGAUUCACGGGGUAUAAAUGUUGGGGAUUGGAAGUGGGGAUGAAAUGGCACUUGUUGAUACAGGAGCAGAGAGGUGAGGCCGACUGCUGAAGACAGCUCGCCACCCUCCUUGCCUCCACUCCAAUCCAGGGGCUGGGGCCACAUUCUUUGCCUUCAUUUAUCCUCAGAUCAGGUGAGAUCGACAGGAGGUGUUGAUGGCAGUGCCAGCAAUUAUUGCUAAUCCGUUUGCAUCCUUAUGCAUAGAUCUGAAUUCAGACUUUGUGAAUUUCCAGAGGUGUGGGUAAUAUAAUAGAAUUCAGUGAGUGGGCAUGGCUGAUCUUGUGCAAAUUAAAAGUUAUGGGGCAUAAGAAUAGCAAAAGUUGAACUUCUUUUAAAAAGGAAAGUACCCUGAGAGCCAGUAUUGGUUGAGGCUCUUCAGUAUGCCCAGGUUGGCAGCACUGAGAACCGCAGGAACGGCCUGUUGUUACAAAAAGGAGAUUGACUCAGCUGCCCUUGGUGCAUCUGACUGACUAUGACUGCUGAGAGAUUCCAAGGACCCUUAAUGCCAGGGCUAACCUCUCCAUGUGCAGUGAGACCUCUGGAGGAAGUGUCAUCCUCUGGCUUUGUGUGGUACUCAUUAUGGUGCAGUGCGGGCAUGAAAUGAAGACACCCAAAUAGGCUUACAGAUACGAUAUGUUUUAAAUGUUCGUAUUUAACAAAAACAUACUGACACUGUUUGGAAAUGGCAACAGGAAGAUAGCAAAAUGAAUACUAACAUUACGAAAAGAUGAACAGGUACAUGUUCCAAGGCAGGUGGCUGUGAACUUCCUCUGAGUGAAGGCAUCCCCUCCAGCACCUUUCAGCCUGCUAGUUAGGACGACCCGCCGCCACCCUCCAGGACCUCCAGCCCUGCACUGCCUUUCCUCUCUUUUAAAUAAUUCUUCAUUGAGUUCUAAUAUGUAAAAAAAAAAAGUUUACUGUAAAGUUUGCAAAUAAGGAAAUUUUUUUUAAAAGUCCUCAGUAAUCUUACCAGUAACAAUUGUUAUGGGCACAUUUGCUUUUGGAAGAUUUCUUUUGUAUGCAUGGGAUAAGUACAUUUUUAAACAAAAAUGGGAUUAUGCCAUAAAUUCUAUUUUGUGACUUUAAUAUAUAGUGAACACCUUUUUUAAUGAUGACAGGAUGUUCCCUUGCAUGGCUGUAUCAAUUUAAACAAUCUUGUUUCAAUGGGCAUACAGGGUAUUUUCUAGUUUUUUUUUCCUCUUAGAAAAUAAUACUUGCGAUGACUUUCCUUGUAGCUCAGACUUUUUCACGUCUGUUGUUAUCUCUUUGGGAAUGCUGAAUACAUACAUUUCGAGAAGGAAAUGACUGUUAAACUCUUAAGACUUCAGGUUCAUAUUGCUAAACUGCCCAGCAGGGAGGGAUUUUUUCAAUUAGUGUUCUCACUGGUGAGGCAAACCUGAUGCCUUCCCCUCUUCCUCAGAACCGGCUUUAUCACAUUGAAAACCUUUGCUCCUCCGACGGAUCGAGUCUGCUUUCCCUCUGGAUGUGAGCAUUGCUUUGUCUGCUGGUGACUGAACAUCUCUACCUUGUGUCAAUUGGCCAUUUGUGGUGUGUGUGUGUGUGCGUGUGUGUGUGUGUGUGUGUGUAUGAUUUUCUAAUUCCUAGUCAUUUUUCUAUUGAUUGUUUUGCAAAAGCCAUUUACAUCUUAAGGAUAUUGAUAAUCUUUUGUUAUAUUUGAUGCAAAUAUUUUUUUCCAGUUUAUAGGUUGCCUUUUAAUUUUGUGUUUCAGGUAGAUAAAAGUUAAACGAUUUUCUUAGGUUAGUUUAUCACUGUGGUUUCUGAACUUGUUAUGUGUAGAUCUUUUCCACCCCAAGAGUACAUAAAUAUUAAUCCAUACUUUCUUAUGGAACUUGUAUGGUUUCGUUUUUUACAUUUAAACCUUCUUCCCCGUGGUGUGUGUUGUGGAAUCUGUGUUUGUGUGAGGAGGGGCAUGGUGCUCUCAGAACCCACCUCCUGUGGCCAGAGAGCCCUGUCCUGUGAGGGUGGUUGUCACAGUGGCAGGGUUCAAUUCAGAAGACCUUGAGGGCAGGCUGAUGUUUCCUGAAUGGGCCCCUGGUUGUUGCUUGUCCCUGACUCUCCAUUUCCCCAUCUGAGUGGAUUUGGACCUAAUAGGGCACUGGAGCUGGUUCGAAUCCUGACUGGACUACUUGGCAACUUUAUGUCUGGGAGCAAGUUACUUAACCUCCCCAAGCCUGUGUCUGUGAAAUGCGGGUAAAUGAAUGUAGAUGUUUGGCAGCAGCUACUCCUUGUUGAGCUCUCACAGUGAACUCUCCUGCCUCUGCCCUCCUUCCCCGCCUCCCCUGGUGCCUAGCGUCAGGUCUAGCCACUUCCUCCUGGGCCCCUCUCCCUUUUCUGUGGCUGGCUGCCUGCCCGCCUGGCGCUGGACCUUUCAUGUAACGGGAAUCAGCAUGUAUAUUCUGGUCUGGUCUGUUUCUACACUUAAUUUUGUUUCCAGUAGUAUUUCCCUGUACCGGCAGAGUUCACAAACACAUUUGAAGAGGCUUUUUCUCAGGAUUCUUAACCUUCCCAAAGGAAGUCCCAUGGAUGGGUUUCUAGAAGUCUAUAAAUGCUCUGAAAUUGUAUUUUUCUGUGGAAAGCAUAACUUUCAUCUGCUUGUUCGUGCUCAAAAAAGAUCAUGAAUGAAUGAUUGCAUGAUUUUAUGCCAUUGUGCUUAUACUAAAGGAUAUGUAGCCCAUCUCUUGAGCUGUUAAACUGUUUUGACUACUUUAAAUCGUGCAGCUGUGAGCAUCUCUGUAAAUUUAGUGUACACAUGUAUCCCCUGGAGUGGCAUUGCCUCGGCAGUGAGCACUUAUGGUUUUAUAACUCUCUUCACAGACUCAAAUGACUCCAGAAAGCUACACUUCCUGUUGUGAGUAUAUGAUAUCCAUUUCCCUACAUAGCCACUAACAUCAGGUUUUUACAAUUUUAUUUAUUUCUUGCUACUUUAAGAAAUUUUUGUGGUGAAAUACAUAUAAUAGAAGUUGACUAUCUGAAUCAUUUUUAAGUAUACAUUCAGUAGUGUUAAGUAUGUCGCCAUUGUUGUACAACCAAUCUCCAGAACUUUUUCAUCUUGCAAAACAAACUCUGUACCCAUUAAAUAACAUUAAACAUUCCAUUCCCUCCAGCCUCAGCAACCCCAUUCUACUUUCUGUUUCUGUGAGUUUGACUAUUCCAAGCACUUCAUAUCAGUUAAAUCAUGAAGUAUUUGUCUGUCUGUGACUGGCUUAUUUCUCUGAGCACAGUGUCCUCGAGAUGCGUCUAUGUUGUAGCAUAUGUCAGAAUUUCCUUCCUUUUUAAAAGAUCCAAAUAAUAUUCUUAUUUUAUAUCUUUUUUUUAUCCAUUCAUCCAUUAGUGGACACUUGGGUUGCUUUUGGCUAUUGUAAAUAAUGGUGCUAUGUACAAAUAUCUAUAUUAUUGUAUUUACAAGUAUAAUGCUGUAAUGUACACACAUCUUUUUGAGAUCCUACCUUCAGUUCUUUUGAGUAUAUAGCCAGAAGUGGUAUUACUAAAUCUUACGAUAUUUCUAUUUUUAAUUUAUUGAGGAACCACUGUAGUUUUUCAUAGCAACUGCACCAUUUUACGUUCUCACCAAGAGUGCACAAGGGUUCCGAGGUUCCCACAUCCUCCCCAACACUUGUUAUUUUCUGCUUUUUUUAGAUUGCAGCCAUCAUAGUGGGUGUGAGGUGACAUUUCAUUGUGGUUUUGAUUUGCAUUUCCCUAAUGAGGAGUGAUGCUGAGCAUCUUUUCAUAUGCUUACUGGUCAUUUGUAUGUUGUCUUUGGAAAAAUGUCUAUUCAAGUCCUUUGACUAUUUUAAAAAUUGGGUUAUUAGAGUUAUCGUUGUUGUUGACUUGUAGGAGUUUCUUUCUAUAUUCUGGAUAUUAAUCCCCUAUCAGAUAUAUGAUUUGCAAAUAUCUUCUCUUAUUCCAUAAGGUUACUUUUUCACUUUGUUGAUUGUGUUCUUUGAUGUAUAGAAGUUUUUAGUUUUGAAAUAGUCUAAUUUAUCUGUUUUUACUUUUGUGGUCUGUGCUUUUGGUGUCAUAUCCAAGAAAUCCUUGCCAAAUCCAACGUUAUAAGGUACUUUUAAGGUAUUUUAGUUGUCUUAGUCUAUAUUUCUGUACUCACCUUUCUUUAUCCACUCAUCAGUUGAUGGGCAUGUAGGUUGGUUCCAUAUCUUUGCAAUUCUGAAUUGUGCUAUGAUCAGGUGUCUUUUUAGUAUAAUGAUUUACUCUCCUUUGGGUAGAUACCCAGUAGUGGGAUUGCUGGAUCGAAUGGUUUUUAUAAUUUUCUAUUUUACCACAGUUUCUCUCUGCAUUUUUCCUCUUUGACCACUAACCAUGUGAAAUUCUCAUAUUGACCUUUAUAAUGAUCAUGAACUCUUAGUAUCAUUGGGAAGGCCACAUUUGCCACUUAUGAUUGUAAACCUUAUCCUCCAUUUUUCCUGUUAUUGUUGGUGCAAAAAGCACCUAUUAUACCAGGACUUUAAAAAUCAGUCUGAUAAGUCUUUGAUAAGUCUAAUAAUAAUAACUGAUAAGUCCAUUGAAUUUGCUUCUGAUUACUUUUUCUUUAGUAGCUAAACAUGUAUGUACUCCUAUGAUUACAAUGAACACUCCUCUCCAUUUAAAUUAAUUAUUUACAUUGAUGAAAUAGCAAAAUGUUAAUGACUAAAUACUGUCUUGGUUUUUUCGUUCCAGGUCAGUCAAUAUUAACUUCUUAUAAUUUUCUUUUUUUUCUUUAUGUGUGUGUGUGUGUGUAUUUUUUUUUUUUUAAUUUCAAUGGCUUUUGGGGUACAAAUGGCUUUUGGUCAUAUAGAUGAAUUCUACAGUAGUGAAGUCUGAGAUUUUACUGCACCGGUCACCUGAGUAGUGUACAUUGUACCCAAUAUGUGGUUUUUUAUACCUUGCCCCCCUCUUACCCUCCCCACUUUGAGUCUCUAGUGUCCAUUAUGUCACUCUGUAUACCUUUUUGUACCCAUAAGUUAGCUCUCACUUAUAAGUGAGAACACACAGUAUUUGGUUUUCCAUUCCUGAGUUGCUUCACUUAGAAUAAUAUCCUCCAGCUCCAUCCAAAAUUGCUGCAAAAAAAAAAAAAACCACAAACAUUAUUUUGUUCUUUUUUAUUGCUAAGUCAUAUUCCAUGGUGUAGAGAUACCACAUUUUAUUUAUCCACUCACUGGUUGAUGGGUUGGUUCCACAUCUUUGCAAUUGUGACUUGUACUGCCAUCAAGUGUCUUUCUGGUAUAAUGACUUCUUUUCCUUUGGGUAGAUACCCAGGAGUGGGAUUGCUAGAUCAAAUGGUUCUUAACAUUUUCUCUCUGGAUCUAUUUCUGGAAAUUUUAGGCUCCAGUUUUUGUUGUUGUUGUUAAUAAAAUGCAAUGGAAUGUAAUGAUCAUCACUUUUCAUUAUGCUUUAAAAUCUGGUAAAUGGAGGCUAGAACACUCCUGUAAGGCAAGAAUAUUCUCUCUGUUGGAACUCAAAUACACAGAACUGGGUAAAUCUCAAUCUUAAUCUUUGAUUCAGGACACAACAUGGCUCUCUUUUACUUGCUUUCUUUAAUUGUUUUUUAAUAAUGUGGUAAGCAUUUCUGAAUCUCCUAUCCAAUACAAAAACUAGGACAAUACAGACAGUAACUCCUAUGGUUACAAUGAACACUCCUCUCCACUUAAAUUAAUUAUUUACACUGAUGAAAUUGAAAUAGCAAAAUUUUAAUGACUAAAUACUGUCUUUGAUUUUUUGUUCCAGGUCUGUCAAUAUUAACUUCUUAUAAUUUUCUUUUUUUUUCUUUAUGUGUGUGUGUGUGUGUGUAUAUAUAUAUAUUUAAUUUCAAUGGCUUUUGGGGUACAAAUGGCUUUUGGUCAUAUAUAUGAGUUCUACAGUAGUGAAGUCUGAGAUUUUACUACACCUUCCACUUAUGUGGUCCCACACCACCCGCCUCCCCUGCCGCCUCCUGCCACCCCCUAGGCCAAGGUAAUAAUCAUCCUGAAUCCUGGGUUUAUCUCUCACUUGCUUUCUUUUCAUAUAAUUUUGCAAAAGAAUCUGAUCUAAAUGUGUUUUUCAGAGUAUAUAUUUAUAUUUUAGCUGUUCUUAGAGAAAAUUUAUUAUUUUGCAUGUAAUCUUAUGGAACAUUCUCAUUUAAUACCAUGGUAAGAUUCAGCCCUUGCCCAGGGGAUAGUUCAUUUAGUUUGUUUACUGGAUAGAGCUCAUCAUGUGACUAUACCUCAGUUAGUUUAUCAGUUCUCCCAUCCAUGGUGACUAGGUUGCCUCUCAGCCUCUCAACAACACUGUUUCUCAGUGUCCUUGUAGAAGUGAUAUGUGGGUGUUUUCUCCUUACACAGAGUUGAAAGGUGACGACAACAACGUUGGCACUACCAAUCCCCCACCCUCCAGAGGGGUAACCAGUGUUACCAGUUUGCUGUGUUUCCUGCUACACCUCGCCUUAUUCACUUCCAUUUGUAUCUGAAAAACGUGUUGCAUGGUUUCUUUUCUAUAGAAGUGGUAAAAUGCUAUUGUGUCCUGUACAUUAUUGAUUACUUUUUUUCAUUUAACAGUAGGGAGAUGCCUGGGAGUACACAGAGAACUGCCCUCAUUGUUUUCAACUUCUGCACUGUAUGUCUGUGAGUUUAGCCAUUCUGCUGUUAAUGGAAAUUUACAGUAUUCUAAUCUUUUGAUAUUACAAACAGUUCUGUGCGAUCAUCGUCAUACACAACCCCUUGUGCACAAUGCAUGAGUGUUUCUCAGGGUAGGUACCAAGAAGUGAAAUUCCUGGGUCAUAGGGCGUGAGUCCGACAUUUUUCUCCAUUCUGCCCUGUUGCCCUCCAGAGUGGGUGUCCAGCUUUGCAUACCUAAGUAUGAGAGUAUCUGUUGUUCAUAUCCUCUACGACGCUCCAUAUAUGAAACUUAAGUUUCUGCUAGUUGCCAUCUUUGAUCUAUCAUGUAUGCAGUGACCUACUAAGACUGUAAUUGGUACAGUAGAUUCUUGUCAUCUGUGUGUGAAUUUAGCAUUCAUGGGCUUAAUGCUGACAAGGCCCCCAGGGUCCAAGACAUAUAAUCAUGUAUAAUUUUGUCAAGGUAUAAUUUUUUAAAUUGCUUUUGUCAUGUGUCUGCUGGUGAUGCCCAACCCAGUGCUCUGCACCCAGGUCACACUGUGGCUUUGUCCUCUGCUUAUGCCUGCAUUGCAGCAACUGUCCUGAAGAGACCAAAAUUAUGCAGAUUUAGGUAAGUCCAUGGCUAAUGUUAUUAUAUUAUGUGCUAUUGUAAUGGAUGGGGCUGUGGAGUGUAUGAAUUUAUAAAUCACUGGUCUUGUAAUUAAAAUUCAAACACUAUAGAAAAAGGCCAUGUAGAAGAUAAAAGUUCCUCUAUAAUCCCGGACCCCUAAGAUAACUACUAAUGACAACUUCAUUUAUAUUCCUUCAGACAUUUUCUGGCUGUGGAUGUACUAAAAUGUAUCCUAUUAUUCUCUGCCCUAAAAUGGAAUCAUACAAGGUGUACUGUUAUUUUUAUGGCUCUAUAACAUGUCAUAUUGUACGUGUUGGUAUGGUCAUUUUAACCAUUUUUCUAGUGAUGGCUUUGAGGUUAUUUGCAGUUUCCUAGCCAUCUCAAAGUGUGCUGCGGGGAUCUCUUUUGCAUCCCUCUGGGUGCAGAGCUGAGGCACCCAGAGGCAGUGUCCAGAGGAGGCAGCAUCUGUAGGUGUCUUCACCUGCUCUGGCUCUUGGCACAUCUGGUUGGUGACACUGUUUUGUGAGAUGGGUUGAAAGCACGUGCUGCCAAAAUAGAAUAAUGUUGGUCCUCUCCUCAUGUGCCGUGGAACUGGGGUAAAACUGCGUAGUGGCUGCAGCUGCCUGUCCAUACCGGAAUCGAGUAUAACACGGUGCCUGGCUUAGCACAAAACAGUAGUGGGUCCUGCAGGCCCCAGAGUCUAAUUCCUGGUAUUCUUUCCCCUACACAGAUUAAAUAAACCAAAAACAAACUAUUCUAGGAAAGCGUCUGUGACAUUUGUAAAAAGUGGUAUUUAAUGAUCUUUUAUUCACUUGUCUGUUUAGUUUGUUGAAAUCUUAAGUGGCAUCCUGGUCUGGGAAGGAGUGCUGUCUGCGCCUGCCCUCCGCUGGGCACAGCGUGGCUGCUUCAGGGGCUAAGCACACACUUUCUGUCUUCUAAAGGGCCGCCACAUGCCAGGAGCUCAGGUGUGAGCCCGGCUCUGGCUCUUACCUCAUAGGGUCACUCAUAGGGGCACAGGGAGCAGAACAUUGUACACAGCGAGGCACCACCCGGCUUGGCAUCUGCCUCGGUGGACUUACUACCUCUAGAAGGAAAUACCUGAGUUCCUCUGGCCUCAGCUCCUAGAGUGACUGGUGUGCUGUCCCUGUUACUCUUCUGUCAAGGUGACAACUGUGUGACCCAUCAUCUGUGUGUCAAAGCAAGGCCCUGCCUGGGCCUCUGCUCCUGUGCUGACCCCAAAGGCAAAUGCUUUGCUAGUUUCCUUCCAGUUAAUUUCACCUAUGAAUAGAUGUGUGAAAACUGUUCAAAGCCAUACCUGCACAUGUUUGAACUUCAAACCCUGUGGGUGAUUCAGUGGCAUCUUUCUCUAACCCCCAGCCUCCCUUCCCACAGAGGCCACCGUCAUGGCCAGUUGCUGCAGUUUCUUUCCAGAGAACCUGUGUAUGUGUAAAGCUGUACAGGCGUGGGUACACCACACAGCCUGUCUUGCACUGUGGACUGUUGAGUUACUAGUACAUCUAGGUAAGCACCGCAUAUCUGUAUUCAUGUCUGCCUUGGUCUUUUCAACAUCUGUGUGGUAGCCGUGUUUGAAUUACCCAUUCCCUUUUUGGGGAACCAUUAAGUUGUUUCAGCAAUUUUUACUGUAGAUAAGGCUAUACCGCAUAUCUGUGUACAUGGGUUUUUAUGUACAUGGGCAAGUAUAUCUGUGAGAGAAAAGUUUCCUCAGGAGGAAUUCUGGGCACAGCAUGUGUAAAUUUCUAAAUAUGAUGGACACCCCCAGCUUCCACCUCAAGGAGGUUGGUCCCAUUGACAUUUCCCCACACCUUCACCCAGGCUGUGCCCUUAAACUUGGUUAUUUGUCAAUGUGAGAAGUGGAAAAUAGUAUUUAAUUGUAGUUUGGAUUUGUAUUUCUAUUGGGUUGUAUACUUACUGAUUAAUAAUAAGAGCUCUUUACAUAUUAAGGAAAUUAACCCUUUUCAAAUACAUUCCUAUUUCUCACUAAUCUUUAAGUUUUAUUGUAAUAUUUUGCUCUUUAGUUUAUAUAUAUAUGUAUAUAUAUAUAUAUGUAUAUAUAUAUAUAUACAUAUAUAUAUACAUAUAUAUAUACUAAUUUUCUUUUAUGGUUCCUGGAUUUUGUGAGUAGUUUGAAAAGGCUAAUCCAGCUGAAGAUUUUGUUGUUGUUGUUAAACCCCAUGUUUUCUCCUAACUCUUUUUAUUUUUAUUUUGGAGGACUCUAUCUAGACUUAAUUUUAGCAUAACAAGUGACAGGGUUAGUUAGCCUGUUGUCCUUACACCAUUUUCUGGCUAAUACAGCUAUUAACUAUUGAUCUGUCUAUUCACGUGCCAGUUCCUAAUGGUUUUACAUAGUGUAAUCUGCACUUCAAAAUAGCGAAGGGAAGCCCUACCUCAUUAUUCUACUUUUCCAGAAUUCUCCUGGCUAUUCCAGGCUGCAUGUUUACCUUAACCUUCCCUGUGAUGUCUUCAUGCCGUUGUCUUCUUAUGCAAGAAUAAGGUACGUCUUUCCAUCCACUCACGUCUAUUUAAUUUGACUUUGCAUUACACAGAAAGCUGGUCUUGGUCUGUCUACCUCGGCAUCUAGUUGUCCUCACUGCCCCCUAGCCGACCCCACCCCAUCUGACUGACUACCCCAUCACAGAGUACUUUUAUUUACGUUUUGCUCUGCCUAAUGGUUACUUGAUACUGUCACGCCGACAGUGUCCAGUUCAGUGGUCUUUGCAGUUGAAAUGCUCCCGUACACACUGUCUUGUUAAAAAUGCCAGUAAGUUCAUACAAACCCAGCUUGCACCCAAGGUCACAUUCAGAGAGCGUAGGGCUGGGAUGGGUUGUUUUCCAAGCUUCUGCCACUGUGUGGCUAGCUCUUCCCACUGGGAAGUUCUGUGUACCCGGAAUGUCGGAGUGGAGUCCUGUUCUAGUGUCCAGCACCUGACCCUGUGCCCAACCCCUCAACAGCCUAUUCCUGCUGUCCACAGCCUGCUGGAACUUUUUACAAAAUAUGUUGCCAUGCUGGACCCUGGGCACUGGACAUAAGCCCCCUGGCAGCCUUUUUCAUGUCACCCAAAGGGGUAAUUGUCCUACUGGUGGUCUGUAAGAUGAGUUAGGGUGACUUGCUAAUAGACAUUGUAAAUCUUAAUAUUUAUGUAUGUAUUUUAUUAUUACCGGUUUUCCAUUUAUGAUGGUAAUAUUGUUUCUUCUAAGAAUAUUUAUUUUUCCUUCUAAAUAUUGAGAUAAAAUUCAUGCUUUUGAAAUGUUCUAUUCAGUGGCUUUUAGUAUAUUUGCUAUGUUGUGCAACCAUCGACACUAUCCAUUUCUAGAACUUUUUCGUCAUCCCAAACAGACGCUCUGUAUUCAUAAAAAAAUAACUUCCUACCUGUCUCUCCCCCUAGUCUUUGGUAACCUUUGUUAUACUGGUAAACUUUGUUGUGCUCUCUGUCUGUGUGAAUUUGCCUAUUCUAGGGGCCUCAUAUAAGUGUAAUCAUACAGUAUUUGUCUUUUUGGGUCUGUCUGAUUUCACUUAGCGGGUUUUCAGGGUUCAUUCAUGUUGCAGCAUAUAACAGUACUGCGUUCCUUUUUCUGGCUGAAUAAUAUUCCACUGUAUGGAUAGACCCCAUUUUGUUUAUUCACACAUCAUUUGGACAUUUGGAUUAUUUCUGGUUUUUGGCUAUUAUGAACAAUGGUGCUAUGAACAGUUGCGUACAAGUUUUUGUGUGAACAUAUGUUUUCAAUUCUCUCAUUAUAUACCUAGGAGUAGAAUUACUGGGUCAUAUGGUAACUGUAUAUUUUUGAGGAACUGCCAAACUAUUUUCCCACGUCCAUGCACCAUUUCACAUUCCCACCAGUAAGUAAGAGGGUUCCAAUUUCUGCGCAUUCUUGCCAACACUAGUUAUUAUCUGACUUUCUGGUUAUAAUCAUUCUAAUGAGUGUGAAGUAGCCUCUGGUGUCAUUUGGAUUUGCAUUUCUCUGAUGAGUGAUGCUAUCAAGCACCUUUGCUGGUGCUGUUGGCCAUAUGUGUAUGUUCCCUGGAGAAGUGUCUGUGCUGAGCCUUGGCCCACUUUUUAAUUAGGCGUUUGUCUUUUUAUUACUGAGUUGUAAGAGUUCUUUAUAUAUUCUGGAUUCUAGACCCUUAUCAGAUACAUGGUUUGCAAAUAUUUUCUCCCAUUCUGUGGGUUGUGUUUUCACUUUAUCGAUAAUGUCCUUAGACAUAUAAUAAAUUUGUAUUUUAAAAGUGACUUGAUUUGGCUGUGCAAGGUGGCUCACGCUUGUAAUCCCAGCACUUUGGGAGACUGAGGUGGGUGGAUCAUAUGAGGAGGCUAGGAGUUCGAGGUCAGCCUGGCCAGCAUAGCGAAAACUUGUCUCUACUAAAAAUACAAAAAUUAGUCAGGCAUGGUGGUGCACGUCUGUAAUACCAGCUUCUCAGGAGGCUGAGGCACGAGGAUCACUUGAACCCAGGAGGAGGAGGUUGCAGUGAGCUGAGAUCAUGCCAGGGCAACAGAAUGAGACUUUGUUUAAAAAAAAAAAAAAGUGACUUGAUUUAAGGGAAAAAAUGACUGGCUAUAUUCAGUCAGAUAUGGCAAAAAGUCUCAAGGUGUUAAUGUGAAUGAUUAAGGUCUUGGGGGGGGUGUCCCCUAUCAGACUACAGGUGUUUAGAGGCACAGAAAAAGGUGCAGUUGGGUUCUUAAUGUGAAAUGAUGAGAAGCACAACUCCAGUGUGUCUCUUUGUGUAGAAUGUCAGCAGACACCCCCUGCUAGAUGUGCUGGAUCAUGGGAAAGCAUUUCCAUUUGUUACUAGAUUGUUCAGAAGUUUUAAUUUAUGAUGGGUGUGGUGGCUCAUGCCUGUAGUCCCAGCACUGUGGGAGGCUGAGGCAGGAGGAUCAUCUGAGGCCAAGAGUUCAAGAUCAGCCUGGGCAACAUAGUGAUACCCUAUCUCUUAAAAAAGAAGAAGUUUUUAAAUUUGAAAUAAUAAUAGGUACUGGAUUUAUGCAAAUGUCUUUUCUGCGUCUUUUGAGAUGAGUAUCAGGUUUUUUUUUUUCCUUUUAUCAUCUGAUGAUGAACUUAAUGUUUCCAUUUGUAUUAAUGGAAUACUAAGUCCCUCUGUGAUUUCUGAACCAAGCUAUUCCUAGGCCUGAGUUUUAUUUUGUUGACACAGAAAUAAAUUAGAAGGCCAAGCGUGGUGGCAUGUGCCUGUAGUCCUAGUUGCUGAGGUAAGAGGAUUGCUUGAGCCCAGGAGUUCAAGGCUGCAGCAAGCUUUGAUUGCGCCACUGCACUCCAGCCUUGGCGACAGACUAAGACGCUGUCUCAAAAAAAAACAAAAACGACAAAAAAAAAACAAAACAGAAAAAAUAAACUAAGGCAAUGACAGUCCCUGGCAAAUGCUGGGAGGGAGGCAGCAGUGGUCAGGGAAGGUAACCCUGAAGCAGGACUUGUAAAGCAAAUAAGAUUGGGAGGCCAAGGUGGGUGGAUCACGAGGUCAGGAGUUCGAGACCAGCCUGGCCAACAUAGUGAAACCCCGUCUUUACUAAAAAUACAAAAAAAUUAGCCAGGUGUGGUGGUGGGUGCCUGUAGUCCCAGCUACUUGGGAGGCUGAGGCAGGAGAAUCUCGAACCCAGGAGGCGGAGGUUACAGUCAGCUGAGACCGCACCAUUGCACUCCAGCCUGGGUGACAGAGCAAGAUUCCGUCUCAAAAAAAAAAAAAAAAAAAAAACCAAGAAGAAAAGGAAUGAAUUAGAACUUCUUCUGCUUGGACUUAAGGGCAUCAUCAGGCAGGUUUUGGGUAGGAUAGCAGGGGAGGCAGAGACAUAGUCGGGGUCAGUGGUCAUGAGUGUGGCUUUGAGCCCAAAAACUUGGUUUCUGUUCCCUACUUUGCCACUCAGUAGUGCAUGACUUUGGCCAAAUUUCUUAAAUUCAUGAAGCAAGUUUCCGGGUGAAUGAAAUGGGGAUAAAAAUAGUGUUCAAACCUAUCCGUUGGUUUGUGUGAAACUGAAAUGAAUAGUAUCGUGCAGGUACUUGUGAGCAAGGGGAGCUGCUGUUUCCUGUCCCUUUAUGAUGGGAAAUAUCUAGACAAGUUCCCAACCCUCUGCACUGCAGGCUGCAUGGCACGGAGGGUCUUGUAACACCAGCUGGGGCUGGCCUUCUUUUAGGAGCUUCAGUGGUUCUGAAAACUUUUAUUUGUUUGUUUGUUUUAGUAGAUGUGGGGUCUUUCUGUGUUGCCCGGACUGGUCUCAAACUUCUGGACUCAAGUGAUCCUCCCCCGCUCAACCUCCCAAAGUGUUGGGAUUACAGGUGUGAGCCACUGUGCCCAGCCUUGAAAACUUUUUCAGGUUCUUCCAGGGUUACUGGGCUAUUAAAUAUUUCUAUUUCAUUAUAAGUCAGUUUUUCAAAGUUAUAUUAUCUUAAUUACCUUUUUUAUAUGUAUUAGUGUAGAGUAGCAUUUUAUAUUUUGAUAUCCUCCUUAUGCAUAGUUUUUCACUUUUUAUUCCUAGUUUUUCGUUUUUAAUAAGACUUUCAAGAAAUUUAUUUUAUUGGCCUUUUGAAAAAAGCAGCUUUAGAUAAAGUAAGCAGUUCUGCUUUCAUUUUAUAAUUUAUUUCUACUUUUGUUUCAUUAAUCUUUUCCUCCGGCAUGCCUUGGAUUUUGUUGUGUUACUCUUUUUCUAGAGGCUCGCAUUGUGUGUCUGGUUCACUUAUGAUCACGCUUGCCUACUUUUAAGAAUGGAAGAGGGGAGGUGGAGGGUGGCUGCACAGUCGAGGGUGUGAGGCAGUCUUGCUCUAGCCCCACCAUGCCCUCAGCCCGCUGUGGCCACGCUGGUUCCUCAAUUGCUGGGGCGUGCAGUGUCUGUAAGGGAGGCUACUGAUGCCAUCCGAGGAAGAUGUAAGGUUUCGUGUGGGCAGCGAGAGCCUAGCAGGCAUGUGGGGUGCCCAGCAAAGGGUAACAGUGGACAGUUGUUGCCUCAUUCCACAGAGUUUUGAUUUUUUUUUUUUUUUUAAUGGUCACUCCAUCAACAUCCCCCAUGGCCAGAGCCUGAGCUGGUCCCCAGAGACACAGGCAUUCAGCUGACAGCCUCGCCUUCACGCUGCUGCUGUUCUCAUGGGGGACAGGCCUCAGGUGGCAAUGCACAAAUCAUUAGUUAAGGGCAGUUGUGACAGUUACCAAGGAGUGUAGUCCCCCGCCCCCCGCCCAGUGAAAACAGCCCUAACCAGGGGUGGGGACCUUUGGGCUCUGACCCGAAGGGUAGGAGAAGCUGGAAGGACAGCAUUCCUGUCUGCGAAGGCAGGAGCAAAGCUGCCAGGCUAUGAAGGAAAUGGCUGGAGCCUGAAGUCAUGCAAGCUGGGGCUGGCAGGGACAGGGCCAACUUCCAGGCCUGGGGGCCACCAUGAGGAUUCAGGACGUGACCCCCAGGGCACAUGAAGGCCUUCCAUCUGUAUUUAAGAAAAGACUUUAUCAGACGAGUAUGGUGGCUCACGCCUGAAUCUUAGCACUUUGGGAGGCUGAGGCAGGUGGAUCACGAGGUCAGGAGUUCAAUACCAGCCUGGCCAAUAUGGUAAAACCCCAUCUCUACUAAAACUACAAAAAUUAGCCAGGCAUGGUGGCGCACGCCUGUAGUCCCAGCUACUCGGGAGGCUGAGGCAGAAGAAUCACUUGAACCCGGGAGGUGGAGGUUACAGUGAGCCAAGAUCGCGCCACUACACUCCAGCCUGGGUGACAGAGUGAGACUCCGUCUCAAAAAAACCAAAAGACUUUAUCUUAUUUCCUAUAUGUUUGUGGUUUCAGUCCUGAUGUAUAAUUUGACCCUAGUUAGAAUGGUUAUCUGAGGAAGUGGCCUGUACGAUUUCUGCUUUUUUAAAUGUGUGGCUCCCUUUCUUCAUUGAUUAACGUAUGAUUAUUUUUAUAAAUGUUCCAUGGCAGUGGGAAGGGAUUCUCUGUCACAUUCCACAUCUGGAUCAGUUCCUCCCCAUUUUGUUGGUCAAAUCCGAUCUGCCAUAUCCUGUGUAAUGACAAGUGAGUUGCAUUCUCACCGUCACUCCUGGGGUCUCUCCGCUUCCCCUGAGCUGGCUCAGCAGUCUGCUCCAUGUGUUUUGAUGCAGGGUGACCCAUUGGUAUUCCCGACACUAACGCCCCCGUCUGUGGACUGCUUGCUGCUUGGGCUUCACUGUGUCUGGUGUUGACAGUGCAGACCUAAAGGUGUGCACACAUGUGCACACACACUCCGCUGUCUUCUUGUUUGCACUGGACUUAAAUAUCUAUGAGGGUUAUUUUCAACUGCUGAAUUUGGAAUGAUUUUUAUAUCUUUUCUGCUUUCUGCCCAUGUACAUGUGUUUAUUUUACACUGUUGUGAUUGGUAGUUACUAUGUGGGGACACAAUUACUUGGGCUGAAAUAAUCCACCUGUUGUGGUUGGGGUCCUCUGGGGCAUUCCAGGGUGAGAGGUUGUCACUGCCACCUGGGCCAUGUGGGCCGGCACCAGCAUUUUGUGGUUACGAAUUCUACAGUCACAAAUAUCUUUGGGCAAAUCCCCUUCUAUACCUCAAGGCAGCUUUUGGUUUGCAACCCCACUGGCCAGAGGGAAGGGCCAGUCACUUGGCUCUCUCACUGCCCUGCGCCCCAGAUGGUUCUAGGGCUGCUGUUUUCCCUUGGCCCUGCCAACACCACUGUUUUUACUUCUGCUCAUUGGCUGAGUGCAGUGGUUCCUGGAAGCCAGUGGCACGUUUCCCCGCGUAGCUCGCUUAUCCCACAGCACACACCCAAGGGUUCUGUUGCUAACACGCUGAAUUAAUUCUUUGCUCAUCUUACAGAGUGUGUUUUGACUGCCCCCAUUUCUGAGGCCUUGUAAGGCCAGAGCUUUGUUGCUUCAUCGGCAGGUUGGGACUUAGAUGGCCGUGAAUGUUUCCUCUCUGCUGCUGCAGUAAGUAAGUGCCCGCACCAUAGUGUGUUUGGAGGCUGAAGUUGAAGCGAGGCUGUGAGGGGAGAUGGACGUGUGAGGAGGGAUGAUGGGGCUUGAGCAAAGUGGGGGAGGGGGCAAAGGCAGUUGGCCCAACACAUUCCCCACCCCUUUGAGAGGUCUGAGGCCUGCAGACCUGGCUCGGAGCCCACCUGGUAGUCCUCAGACUGUGUGUGUGUGUGUGUGUGUGUGUGUGUGUGUGUGUGUGUGUGUGUGUGUGUGUGUGUAAAAGAGAGAAGUUGUGGAGAAAUGGGGGGCUGAUUCUGCUCAGAUUCAUCAGGAUGAGUAGAAGGCACCCAGCUCUCACCCUGGCCUGACAUGUGUGUCCCUGAGCAGGUUACAGUCCUCUCUGAGCCUCUGCUUCCCAUCUGGACCCUGCUGGGCAGGGCUUCUGAGCUCCUUAGCACUAGCAGGAGGGGCUCCAGGGGCCCUCCCUCCAUGGCAGCCAGGACAGGACUCUCAAAUGAGGACAGCAGAGCUCGUGGGGGGCUCCCACGGACCCGCCGUGGGCCCAGGGGAGGCAGAGCCUGAGCCAACAGCAGUGGUGCUGUGGACCGUGGAUCCUGAGGGUGGCCUGGGGCAAGUACCGGCUGAGGGUCCAGGUGGGCUUUGUGUACCUUUGGGUCCUGGGGCCCUGGUGACUUGGACUCCAGGUUAGAGUCAAGUGACAGGAGAAAGGCUGGUGGGGCCCUGUGCUUCCGACUUCAUUUCGAGUGAUGGCAGUUCCCAGGAAGGAAUCCACAGCUGACGGUGGCUGACAGAUCAGAGAAUGGAAGGCGAGGCAGGCGGGCGUCUGCGUGACCUCAGGUGCUUGGGGCCCAGCAGACCCAGAGAACCAUUUCCACUAGGCCAGGGUGCCGGAAGUGUCCACAGGUCUUAGAUUCCCUGUUCAGAUGAAAAGAUUUGUGCCUUUAAUGAUAAAAGUGAUCUGCAUAGAGUCAAAAAUUCAAGCCAUGGGUAUAAAAUGCAAGUAAAAUCCCUGCCCUCACCUAUCCCACCCUACUACACAGAGAUGUCCUCUCGAGUUUCCUAGACUCACUCUGGAAAUUUCUGUAUACACACAGAAGCUUGUGCCUCUGCUCGUGAAGGCAGAGGGAGGGAGAGCUGAAGGGCCAGCACCUUCUCACCUGUGGGCCCCCUCAGUGCUCGGUCCCAGAGCAUGCAGGACUGUGCCUCGUGUUCAGUUUGCUGGUCUGACUUCAUGCUCCUUGGGCAGGAUAUGCAUGUGCCAUGCUAGGAGACAUGUGGAUGUGAAGCUGGGGGACAAUGUCCCCUGGCUAUGCCUUUACAAGGGAAGUAAGGAAGGUAGGAGGUGAGCCUGGGAGGGAGGGAGGGAGGCGCGGAGCCGCCGCAGGUGUUUCUUUUACUGAGUGCAGCCCAUGGCCGCACUCAGGUUUUGCUUUUCACCUUCCCAUCUGUGAAAGAGUGAGCAGGAAAAAGCAAAA